rnacentral:misc_RNA from 1 species
UUUCCGUAGGUGAACCUGCGGAAGGAUCAUUAUCGAGUUUUAACUGGGUUGUAGCUGGCCUUCCGAGGAAUGUGCACGCCCUGCUAAUACACUCUACACCUGUGCACUUACUGUGUGUAUCAGAUCGUGUAUCGGUCUCUUUUACCGAAGCUUGUGCAGCGUGUCUGUGCCUGCGAUUUUCACAAACAUUAUAAAGUAUCAGAAUGUGUAUUAGGAUGUUAAGCAUCUAUAUACAACUUUCAGCAACGGAUCUCUUGGCUCUC